rnacentral:rRNA from 1 species
CCUACGAGCGGCAGCAGUGGGGAAUAUUGGACAAUGGGGGCAACCCUGAUCCAGCCAUGCCGCGUGUGUGAAGAAGGCCCUCGGGUUGUAAAGCACUUUCAGUGAGGAAGAACGCCUGGUGGUUAAUACCCAUCAGGAAAGACAUUACUCACAGAAGAAGCACCGGCUAACUCCGUGCCAGCAGCCGCGGUAAUACGGAGGGUGCGAGCGUUAAUCGGAAUUACUGGGCGUAAAGCGCGCGUAGGUGGCUUGAUAAGCCGGUUGUGAAAGCCCCGGGCUCAACCUGGGAACGGCAUCCGGAACUGUCAAGCUAGAGUGCAGGAGAGGAAGGUAGAAUUCCCGGUGUAGCGGUGAAAUGCGUAGAGAUCGGGAGGAAUACCAGUGGCGAAGGCGGCCUUCUGGACUAACACUGACACUGAGGUGCGAAAGCGUGGGUAGCAAACAGGAUUAGAUACCCUUGUAGUC